UCAUUGUGCUUCGCUCCUGUAGAUUCUCUGGCAGACAUGUCGUCAUCUGCCCACACGUCCACCUCUGCCGCGCAGCUGGGCAAUGCAGCCUUCGACAACAAUGUGAAGAUGAGCGCCGAGUUCUUAGCCCUCACAUACGGCGCUCUUGUGCAGCAGAUGGUCGAGGAGCUCACUCAGGAAGACGCUGUGGAGCAGGUGAAUCAGCAGCUCUACAACAUGGGCCACCGAAUCGGCGCUCGGCUGAUCGAGGAGUACAGCGUCCGCAGCGGCGCUGCUCCGUGCCGCACCUUUAGCCAGGCCGCAGAAGGCGUCGCUCUUGUUGGGCUCCGCAUGUUUCUCGGCGUGAGUGCGGAGGUGGCACAAGUGAAGGACGCAGCCGACACAUUUGCAAUCAGUUUCCAAGAUAACCCGCUCGCCCUAUUCGUGGAGCUGCCGGAUGGACCGCUGCGGGAGUACCUGUGGUACUCGAACCUACUCUGCGGCGUCAUCACGGGCGCGCUGAGCCUUGUCGGGCUGCAGACGGAAGCCCGCUUCUCACGCGACAAGCUGCGCGGCGACUCCAAGAACGAGAUAAUCCUUCACUUCAAGGGGCGGGAGAGGGAGACGUUUCAGGUGGAGCGCAACUAGCGCUGCGUACCAGCUCUCUCCCUCCGACCCCCUUACCUUGGCACACAUCCGCGUUUCAGGUGGCUCUUGUUGCGGUGUGUCAAGCUAGCGUACGUGUAGCUUUAUAGGUGUAUCUGUGUCUGUGCGCGUUUGUGUGGGCAGGGGGGAAGGGGAGGGGGCGCGUGUUGGGAAGAGCGCGUCUACUGCCGCCUCUCUGCUCGCACGCUCUUCCUUCGGUCUUUUGUGGCUUGGCUUGGCCGUCUGCGGGACUGAUACGUAUACGUUGUUGUUGUGCGGAGGGCGGGAAAGGGGCGGGGGAAGCGCUGGCGUGUGUGUGACGUCUCCCUCUGCAACGCUCCAUCUCUUGUUUUAGUUGUGUGUGAUGGUGGGGAUGCUUGUGGGAUCCUUUUACUGCUUUCAGCGUCGGUGUGCGUCCCCGCCCACUCCACCUGCUCUCCUGCCUGACCAUUGUUCUGCCUCUUUGCGUGCGCAUUCCAUCGCAGCUCUCGUCGCUUGCCCGUUCUCUCCUUUCAUGGAUCCUUCGCAGGCCGCUGUCGUGCCUGUCGGAAAAAAAAAA
rnacentral:misc_RNA from 1 species